AUAUCAAUAACAGAGUACAGACAGGAGUGACUUUAUCUAAUUGUAAACACGUGUCAAUUUUUUGAGUGGUGAGUGAUGUGAACUGUGUGUUAACGAAUUGUGUGAGAUAUCUGAAGAUGAGUGAUGUGAACUGUCUGAAUAUAAGUUGUGUGAACUGUCUGUGGAUGAGGGUUUAGAACUAUCUGUAUAUGAGUGGUAUAAACUAUCUUUAGCUGAGUGGUGUGUACUGUAUGAAGACAAACGGUGUAAAUAGUCGGCAUAUUAGUGUCGUGCACUGUCUGCAUAUGAGUGAUGUGAACUGUUUGCAUGCGGUGUCGAAAUGGGUCUAUAGCUCUGCCUGAACUGUCGUCCAAUUGGUUUACAAGUCCGGCUGAAGUGACAGGCCAUCAAAAACUGUAUAGCAUGACAGAUUCGGAGACGGCCCUCAACACUCGCCCAGUCGUGUCGAGAGGAUCGGUGUCUUUGCAGAUUACACGGAAUUGAGCACCCGGGCCAGACUGACACUUUCCGGAGCCUGUCCGAGACGGAACUCGAGCCGAUGAAUCAUAGGUCCAGGUGUGACAAAAUGCUUUAAGCUCAUGUCUGACGAUGACUUUUUUUAGUCAGGAAGUGUGUUGUUUUUCCAUGCAAGCAAGCCCUUUUGUUGGGUCAACUGACAUGAGAAAUGCUGCUUCUACAUGGAUUUUACCUAAAAUGUGCCAAAAAAAAAGUUUGUUGGAAUCCGGUUCAAAACCUGCUUUGAUUACAAAUAUUGGCAUUGAUGAUUUUUUUCACUUAUUAAGUCAUAUGUUAUAUCAGCUUUGCCUAUUAGAAUCGAAAGUGAUGCCUUGUAUGGAGUCUAAGUGCUGCAUGAAUGAUGUAACCAAGUUUGGCUUUUCUACCUUAAUUCUUGACGCGUAACGCUGUUACGCAUGGCGCUUUCAAUGGCAACUUUUAUAAAUAAACCUGUGAGUCAUUGUUCCGGAGUUUUGUGAUCUUUCUCAAAACAGAUUAUACCUGUGGGAAAAGUGCCUUUAAUUCAAAUUUGAAGGGGUUGGGUUCUCUUAAAGGUCACAUAAACCCAAACCGGAACUCCUGUUUGCAGGGUUACAUGCAGUCAGUUUGAUACUUAGCACACAUUGUUCAGUGCAUGCUGCAUAGGAUUUGUAAAAUACAUUGCAAAUGGAAUGUUUUUUGUAAAAUACAUUGCAAAUGAAAUGUUUUUUGUAUCAAUUUGAAGGUAUAUUUGUAAGCAAUAAAAAAGCCAUUUUUGUGCUCUACUUUUUCUGUUGAUGGUUCCCGGCUAUGAAAGUAGGUCAUACUAUUUGAGCCCAAAAUGGUCGCCUGCACAGCUGUCAAAACCGGUGUGCCUAUUCUAAGGUGAAUAUUUUGAGUUACAACGUAUAGAAUUUAAUGACAUCCAUUUGUUAAAAAGAUUAUGCAUUUAUCUUUCCAAUGAUGUAUGAUGAUAUAGUGGGUCAUUGCUUGAUCAUGGUAAAAAUUGAUAUCGAACUUGAACUAUUUUAUAUGUAAUAUAGAAGGAAAUUAAUUGCGCAUGCGUAACCUAAAACAGUCGGCAAAUUGACAUAUGAUUAUUUUGCUGUAGUUAUAAAGGACCAUGUGUUAUGCUUCAGGCUAUAUGCAGCUCGCAAUAGUUGGUAAUCCUCCAAGCUUAGUUCUAGGAAACGUGCUUGUAAUCCUACCAGAAUUCUAAUCAUCAAUUGAAGUGUUAUUUAAUUAAUUUUCGAUUAUAGCUUUUGUUUUCUUGUCACAGUUAACAAAAUAUUAGCACAUUUAUACAACACUAUCCGGUCGUGUUGUUUAGCUCUGUUUGUUUACCUGAAAAGAUUAAUUUUAACUUUUACCGCAUUUGUAACGAUACUCG